rnacentral:rRNA from 1 species
UAGGGAAUCUUCCACAAUGGACGCAAGUCUGAUGGAGCAACGCCGCGUGAGUGAAGAAGGUUUUCGGACCGUAAAGCUCUGUUGUUGGUGAAGAAGGAUAGAGGUAGUAACUGGCCUUUAUUUGACGGUAAUCAACCAGAAAGUCACGGCUAACUACGUGCCAGCAGCCGCGGUAAUACGUAGGUGGCAAGCGUUGUCCGGAUUUAUUGGGCGUAAAGCGAGCGCAGGCGGAAGAAUAAGUCUGAUGUGAAAGCCCUCGGCUUAACCGAGGAAUUGCAUCGGAAACUGUUUUCUUGAGUCAGAAGAGGAGAGUAGAACUCCAUGUGUAGCGGUGGAAUGCGUAGAUAUAUGGAAGAAUACCAGUGGCGAAGGCGGCUCUCUGGUCUGCAAACUGACGCUGAGGCUCGAAAGCAUGGUAGCGAACAGGAUUAGAUACCCUUGGUAGUCCAUGCCGUAAACGAUGAGUGCUAAGUGUU